ensembl:antisense Igf2os insulin-like growth factor 2, opposite strand
UGGAGUGCCUGGUGGCAAAGAUGGGGGGGGGCUGUGCGCCCCAACAGGCCCACUAAAUCCUGGGUGUCUAUCCCUAAAAAUCGAGGUCCCAUGUCAUGUUUCCGGGGUGCCCUGUGCUUGUGCAACAUGGGCGCGUGGUGCGAACCAACGUGCGUGGCACCCUAGGCCUCAGUGGUAGUGGCAGGACCUGUGCUCAGUUAGAGGGUUACAAGGUAGGCGCAUCCCGGCCGACUGAGUUAAGGCGCAGGUAGCUGGGUAGAGGGUUCUCACAGGGACCUACUUGCUAAGCAGGGGACAGUCCCCUGGAUCGGCUGGGGGGGGGGGAGCGCGCAGCCUCCACCUGCCUGAGCAGGCAGGGCGGGCUGUGAGGCACCUCGAAUAGCAGCCAGAUAGAUCUUACUAAGCGCCCCUAACCUCUGCUUUGCCUGGGAUCUCCUAGCAGCCUUUGGGGGGCCACCAGGUGCACCAUGAAGGGAAGGCUGGCUUGGCCACGCCAAAUCUGGGCCCCGCGUGGAGCCCCCGCACAAUGUCUGCGCCCUUCAGCAGAAAAAGAAGCAGGGCGGGAAACGUAGCUCAAACCAGACCUGUAAACCAGAGCUCACUGAAGUGCUUCUAAGCGGCGCGCCUUUGGGACCCCACCCAGUAUGAGCAGAUAACAGUUCCCUGUCCUCAGCACUUUGAAUUUGCUUAGUUGCAGGUUCGGCCCCAGGGGCCAAUGCGAUAAUUCCGGGCUAUUAAGAAACUCUCCCCGGGUGGUUUCAGAUAUAAGAAGCCAUUGUGAUUUUUACCAAGUCAAAAUCACUUCUAAACCGGUGCACCUUGUUUCCCUCUCCCGACCUCCGCACCUCUAGGCCUCUAAAGGGCCACUACUGGCGGAAACCAGUGCACCCGGGGCUAACCUCCCGGCCCGACCAUCAAUCACCGCGCCCGCGCUCUACACUCGCUUCCCCAAGCCCUCGACCUGUAGGGUUGGAGGCUCCAAGCCGCCCGAGCGCUCUGCCCUUCCCGCUUCCUGGCCGCCCAGGCGCUUUCCCUACCACCGCGUUGUUUGCAGAGUGCACACAAAGUGGCGCGCGUUUCGGAGCGCCCAGCCCAAAGGAGCGCUGCCGCCGAGGGAGAAGCCAGCAGCCCGCUCCCGCGCUACUCCGCAGCAGCCCUGAGGACAAACUGCGAGGUAGCCGGUGCCCCGCAGUGGAAGAGCUGGGGCACGAGGGAGCGCGCCACGGGGAGCUCACCACAAGGCCGAAGGUCGGGUCCGCUGGCGCAGGAGGAUCGGAGGAGAAGGGCGGGAGAGCGGAUGAAGUGGGAGCUGCUGAAGUGGACGCUGCUGAAGAGGUCUCUGGAGAAGCCGCUGACUCACACCCCGGAGAUGAACUCCUGGACUUUGCCAGGGUCCCCAGCAUGCUCUUCCUCAUGCCUGUGCUGGAUGCCUGCCACAGAGGACACACUCAACUGGGCUGCGGUCUUGGACACCACAUAGGGACUCCACACCAGGAAGACCCAAGCAAUGCUCUAUGCCAAUCUGCAAGCCUGGGAAGAAGUCACUACCUGAACCACCAACAUGAGGAUUGCACCAAACUGAUCAACACAACCCACACCAAAAAUUCUUUCCUCAUCUGGAACCCUGCCUUUCCCUCUGGAGCUGUCUGACCUCCCCCCUUCCCCAGCAUUUGCUACCUUUGCCCCUGGACUCCUGGAAGCAUUACAGAGACUGCUGCCUCGUGUCUGCUUGGCUUACACCCCUUGUUCCCAAGAAGUGACACCUGGAGCGCACCUGAAUCCCAGAUACUGUGACUGACUAGACUUCCUAGCCUUGGCUGGUUCCUUGGCUGAGUCUUGCAUUUGCAGGAGCUCUGAUGCUCCUGUGCUAGAGAUACCUCUGUUCUGCUGUAUACCUGAAGGACACUCACCUCUGAGGAAAGACUGGGGCUGGUGGGAGGUUUCUGAGGUUUCAUUCAGUUCUGGGAGCGUGGGGAUCUCCUGGGCCACAGGCCACAGCACUUGGGCACGGGGCUGGAGUCUCGGGAUGCUCUAGCCUGUUUCUUCUCAGGUUCCGGCUCAGGCUUCAGCUCGGGCUCAGGCUCAGGCUCAGGCUUCAGCUCAGGCCUCGGUGGCAGAGGCCUCGGCUCGGGCCUUGGUGGCAGAGGCCUCGACUCGGGCCUUGGUGGCAGAGGCCUCAGCUCGGGCCUUGGUGGCAGAGGCCUCAGCUCGGGCCUCGGUGGCACGGGCCUCGGCUCAGGCCUCAGUAGCAGAGGUCUCAGCUCAGGCCUUGGUGGCACGGGCCUCGGCUCAGACCUCAGUAGCAGAGGUCUCAGCUCAGGCCUCGGUGGCAGAGGCCUCGGCUCAGGCCUAGGUGGUACAGGCCUCGGCUCAGGCCUAGGUGGUACAGGCCUUGGCUCAGGCCUAGGUGGCACAGGCCUCGGCUCAGGCUUUGGUGGCUCAGGCCUCGGCUCAGGCUUUGGUGGCUCAGGCCUCGGCUCAGGCUUUGGUGGCUCAGGCCUCGGCUCAGGCUUAGGUGGCUCAGGCCUGGGCUCAGGCUUAGGUGGCUCAGGCCUCGGCUCAGGCCUUGGUGGCACAGGCCUGGACUUAGGCUUCUGCAGCUCUGGCUGGACGAGAAGUUUAGCCUUAGGAGACUCAGAACCCUGGGUUAGGGGCCUGCAGUCGUCGUAGUCGUUCUCCUCUUCCUCCUCCUCCUCUUGCACAGUGAGCUCUGUUUUAAUUACUCGUCCCCUGAGGAGGAGAAGCAAAAAUCCUUGAGAUUAUCUCAAAAACAAAUCUUCUCCAGCUGAGUCUGGCCCCCUCCCCCCACCUUGCUGCUGGAUGGGGAAGCCCAAGGGUCACCUUGUCAUGGUUGGAGCACUCCCCCCUACCCUGUCCCUUCAGCUGCCUACUCUCCCCACCCCCUUCUCAGUAGAAGGGAGGAAGCAGUUGGUGAGAAGUCACUUUGCCAAGUUUGACAACUGUUCAGGGAGAGGCAGGAGACCCUCCUUUGGGAAGGACAAUCUGGCUCCUGCCUGGCUGGGGGCGGGGGUGGUGGUGGUGUAAAACUGCUGCUGCACACAAAAGGCUUUCUUUGAGGGGUCACAGCUAAAAAUGUGAAUGUCUCCCAUUCCUCUCCUCACACUUCUACCUUGGAUGGGAACAAAAAACAAAGGGCACAUGGAUCUGCCUUAGGAAGGCAACUUCUGGAAGGGGUGGCAGGGCUUCUCCCCAUAAACAUUAUACCGGUGGAUUAAGGAGUCUGGGAUCCCAGUUGCAGGGAAAAAAAGCUUUGUGCACAAAUGAAUGUGCAACUGGGAGUGCUGUGGCUGCUGCUCCAAAUUCCUGCCUGUGCACAGGGAACACGGAUAAUAAUAAUACACACCCCCACACUGCUCUAGAAUCUCUGGCCCCUCUGCACAGUUUAGCCGGGAGUGGGGUGGGGGUGGGGGGGAGGAGCGGGGGGAGCAUACACCAGGGGGAAAAUGUUCACACAGAAAAAUUUCACAUUUGCAAAAACAGCUGUGUACUCCUGCUGGGAAGAGAAAGAGCGCUGCCUCUCCCCUUUGCAUGGUAGAUUAGAGAACGAAACCAUACUUUCCUUGUAGCUUUGUGCAGCCCUUUAAGUCCCAGUCCCAGUUGUCCUUUUGUCCCCUCAGAAGUUGAAGUCACUCUUAAGACCGUCCGGUUUAGCGGCAACCUUCCCCCUCUUCAGAGACUAACUGAAGGACCCUAACUCUCCCAAGUCCCCAGCCACCUACCCACACCAGAAUAUUUAAACUGCACCUUCACUCAUACACAAAAGGCAUGAACAAGGGGAAAUCAAUUAGUUACCUGUACUCUAGUCGCUUCGUAGUUCCUGAAGUUCCCGGACGGUGGAUAAAGAGGACCGGGGAGUCACUGGUGCCCAAGAUUCUCUUCCGAAAUUGCCCGGACGAUGAUCCGCUGGCUGGGUCAAUAUUAGCAGCCCCCUCCAAAGCAGGGGGUGCUCUGGUUGUGGUGCCCGGGCCCUCCAGCCGGGGCGACGAUGUUGCGGCGGGGCUGGAAGGGGCUGAGUCUGAGUCUGAAGAGACGGUGAGAGGGAGUUUUAGAGCGUGCAUGAUAACAGAGCCCCUAGAAGUGGCUUCUGCUCUCCACCACUGAGUAAGGCACCUGCUCGAAUGACACCACGCUUUUAUCCCUCACCUCGUCCCCUCCACGCCCACUUCCAGCCCCCUCCAAAUUUGGGAAAUGAUAUGCCAGUAAAGUACUGCAAAGACUUAUGGGGCAGCUGGCUAUGGCGCUUUCCCACACUAGGGUAUGGGGGCAUUAGAGGGUGGGGCUUUGGCCCCUGCCUGACAGACAGGAAGGCGUCUAUGCAGGUUUGAAUUAAGCUAGAAGCACUUCCUGUUAGCUAGGGGGUAGGGACUAUGUGCAGGGGUGGAGAGUGGGUGGGGCUUCACUGGAUUGACACCUGGCAGUCACCUGACACCCUGGAAUGUCUGUGGGCGUGGCACAGGUAAAAAGGGGCGUGGCUUAUGCAAAUUAGGGUCCGGAUUUAAAAUAAAUAUUAAAAUUACUUUCUAAGGUC